CCAGUGAUUAAGCCCUCAGCAGGAAGGUAGGGCCAACCCAGGGGAAUUCAGGUGCAUGCAAUGCACCUGACUGACUGGAAAGGGUGAAGCCAGGAUCCACUCUGUCCCAGACCUCAAUUAAGGGCUGGCAGAGGAGGUGAUGGUAUCUCAUUUGGUAUCCUGCCUACGUGAGGACCUUCUAGGCCUUCUGAAGGAAAAAGCCAGGUUCUGCAAUCACACUGUCCUGUGAGGGAAAAGCAUAACAACUGAAUUCUACCAGCAGACGACAGAAAAACAAAUAACUCCAGUGUGGACUGCCCAUCAAUGUAGUUCCUUCAUGAAAUAUUCAGCUGCCCUGGUUUGGGUUUCUCCACUGGCUGGAGAGUUGAUAUUUGCUCCACCAUGGUCCUUGCAGUCCUCUCUAUGUGCUGCACAGGGACAGCCUGCUCCAUCACAAUCUUCUCCAUGGAUUGCAGGGAAAUCUCUGCUCCAGCACCUGAAGCACCUCCUCCCCCUCCGUUUUUUCUUUACUUUAUUUGCUCUUUUAUCCUCUACUUCUCUACCUUUCUGGCACUUUAUCCUCUUUCUUAAAUUUCCCAGAAGUGCUGCCACCUUGGCUGUUGGGCCUAGCUGUGUCCUGUGGUGGGGCCUUCGGAGCCAACUGGAACUGGUUGUGUGGCUGUGGCUGGCAUGGGGCAGCUCCACCCUUGUCUCAUGGAGGAUGUCUGCAGCCCCUGCGUGUGUAGCACUGCCAUUCCUUUCCUGGGACUUGGAUGUUAAUAAAAAGGAUAGGACUAUUGUAUCAUAGCUACAUGUUUAGUCACAGAUCUGAUUAGGGGGCCCUGGAUCAUAUUGCUGUGUGUAAUGUGAAGCCAGAGGUCACCUACUGCUUUCUUGUGGGGCUCACUGGCUGAUGUAGAGGGCCUGUGAUGCUACAGACCAGCUUAUAUAUAUAUUUUCUGUGUUAAGAGUAACAUUUUGGCCCCUAUUGUAAUGGAUACGCUAUUGUGCUUGUGGGGGGGGGGGAGAUGUUGUUUUUGCAUAACAACAGAAUGUUGUGAGAGUAAGGGGAUGUGUCUCAGAGCUUAUGAUACAAGUUAUGUUUCUGCUUGCGGUUAGGCCGAAAGAAUAGAGUAUGUGCAUUCUUGAGAUAACAGGAAGAAUGCUAGUAUGAAAUAAUAAGGGUUGUGUUAAAAAUGUUUGCAAGGACAAUUAGAUGGUAAAAAGGAAAAGGGAGAACAGAGAUUGGGCAGGGGGGAAAGGAUUAGAUUCCUUUGCAAAAUAAGAUCUGGAAAGAAGAACUGGUUCAAGAAAUUUAUCUUGCUGGUAUAUGGCAGGAGAUGCUAGCUUAGCACCUGUAAAUCUUGUUUGCUUGACAGAACAAAGAGCGAUGGACACUGUCAAACAGCAUGCCAAGAUAGCUCUAGUUGAGCAAAACAACAAACUCUGAAUCCAGAUUACAAAGCAUGUAUAAACAAAGGAAAGCAAGUGGGUGCCUACUGCAGAGGGGAUGAGAGCAUGAUAAGCAAACUGAGAAGAAUGUGAAUCCCAAGUACCUUAACCAGUGGGGAAAGGGGAAAGGGCUCAUUUGCUGUCAGAUAAUGGGGAAUACAAACAGCUGGUUCUUUCCAGUGUGGUGUGCCUACCCUGUAGGUCACCUGUUCUUGUAAAAGCAUAAAAUGUGAUUCAUAGCAAAUUCCAUCUGAGCCUGGGCUAUUAGACACAAGCAUUUCUCACGUGUUUCAGUGCAGCUUUAUGGAGUGUGAUGGGGUUGUUAUUCCUAAGGUGGAUCUCCAGGUUGAAUUCAUAACACAGUAUUUCCAAAACUGACAUUUUUACUUCUGAGUUUUGGAAGUUAAAUAAGAUGCAUCUGCUGGAGCUGGACUGAAUGUUUUAAUGUUCUAGAAAAAUAAUUAUUGUACCCACAAAGUGUAUUGUUACUUCAAAUACACAUGUAUAAAUAUAUGUAGUAUAUAAGUAUUGCAACACUUGUUGGAAUAUUUUCAUAUCUACUCAAACAUACCGUUCAUAGGAGACAUCUUGAAUGGAAAGAGAUUUUCACAAUAUAGUUUAGACAUAAGCUCUUGAACAGUCUUCAUUCACAGUUGCUGACAAAUGGACUUUUAAUUAGAUGAAUUCUGCAACACCUGUGGCCUGGAGAAGCCUUGCCACCUUUUAUAGAGUUGCUGUGUAAUCCAAAGUGAUGAGGAUUUGGCAUGAAAAUCUAGUACUGUCUCCAGGAUAUCUCUGAUUUAUUUUGAUUUAUAUGAAAGCUAAAAAUUGAGCUCAUAAGAAGCUUUAAGUGCCCUUGACAAAAUAAAUUCUAAGGGCAGCAAUCUGAAAUAGCCUACAAUAAAUUGCCCUUUUUUCAAUCAGCUUCAUAUAUGAUCAGUACAAUUACAGAUCUGUUCUUUCCAUAGCAAAUAUCACGAAAGAAAAAUCUUUCAAAGGUAAUGCUAGAUGGCAGUGUGAUAUGGUAGGAAUAUAAUAUUAGUAGCUCCAUAGUUUUGCAGUACCAUUUCAAUCCUUUUCUGUAUGCCAAAUACCUCUUCAUGCUUUCUUUGUAUAAGGCCACUGUUCUCAAUGAAGUUACAGAAGGGAAUGCAUGGGUUCAGGUCUAACAUCAAAUGCAUUUGCAUUAAAUCUCUGUCCCAUCUUAUUUGUAAAAUACAGUGAUUUUCCUGGCUAUCAUGUGGAGCAGAUAUUUGCCUUUAAGAUUCUUUUCCUCCUCAGGCAGGUGUGGAGUAUCCAUGAUAAAAAUACAUGGCAACAGUUUGUGGCUUUGUCCUUGAAAGCAGCAAAAUGGCAUUUAUGUGCAUAUGAAGGACAGAUGCAAUCAAACUGGUGGUGGAGCUGCCCACUUAGAGGUGACUAGGAGCACGUACCCCCCUCCAGCCGAUGUCAACAGGAGAAAUCUUUCUGCUCCUUGUCACUCCCUGAUGUUAACUCAGUGUCUUAUAAUUUGCUGUGGGUACUAAGAAAACAAAUAUUGCACUAAACAUUUUUAUUGCCUUUCAGACAUAUAUUGUUACCUCACAUGGUUGAGAAUCUUAAACAAUGCUUUUUGUUGCCCUAAUGUUUAGUGGCUUUUAAAUAAUCUGUCAAAAUAUUGUCUUUUGCAUUGCUGAUGUUUCUUUAUCCAGAAGCACAGUUUGAUUAUGCCUUUGCUUGUGAACACAAACAAAUCAAUCUGUCUCUCACAAGAAGUAUAGAGAAGUCUAAAAAUUAUCCCUUGAGUAAGAGACUGAAAAAAUAAGAGACAAGUGAAAUAACCUAAUAAACCACGAACCGAUAUGGGGAAAAAAUACUUUCCCCUGGUAUUGGAGCUAUCAACAGAAAAAAACUGAAACUUUAAUUUUCUUCAAAUAGAAGAUGUCAGUGAUGGAAAAGCAAACAUAUUUUUGCUUAUAGUUUUUUUUUUACCAUGGGUACUAUUGACUUGAUGAGCAAGAAGGUACUGUAAAUAUCUAUUUUUUAAGUAACUUUUGGAUCCUGUCAUCACAGUGCAGUAUGCUGCAACUUGAUCCUUCUUGCAUGUCUCUUCCAUUACAAUUUAUUCAGAUGUCAAAGCUAGAAGCUUCCAGCUCCUACCUAAGCCUGAAUCUUUUUUUUUU